UGAGGAAUAUUGGUCAAUGGGCGAGAGCCUGAACCAGCCAAGUCGCGUGAAGGAAGACUGCCCGCAAGGGUUGUAAACUUCUUUUGUAUGGGAUUAAAGUCACCUACGUGUAGGUGUUUGCAGUUACCAUACGAAUAAGCAUCGGCUAACUCCGUGCCAGCAGCCGCGGUAAUACGGAGGAUGCGAGCGUUAUCCGGAAUUAUUGGGUUUAAAGGGUGCGUAGGCUGUCUAUUAAGCGUGUUGUGAAAUUUACCGGCUCAACCGGUGGCUUGCAGCGCGAACUGGUCGACUUGAGUAUGCAGGAAGUAGGCGGAAUUCAUGGUGUAGCGGUGAAAUGCUUAGAUAUCAUGACGAACUCCGAUUGCGCAGGCAGCUUACUGUAGCAUAACUGACGCUGAUGCUCGAAAGUGCGGGUAUCAAACAGG
rnacentral:rRNA from 1 species